rnacentral:rRNA from 22 species
ACAACUUUCAACAACGGAUCUCUUGGCUCUCGCAUCGAUGAAGAACGCAGCGAAAUGCGAUACGUAAUGUGAAUUGCAGAAUUCAGUGAAUCAUCGAAUCUUUGAACGCACCUUGCGCCCCUUGGCAUUCCGAGGGGCACACCCGUUUGAGUGUCGUGA